rnacentral:ncRNA from 1 species
AAAGUUUGAUUCUAACUUAAACCUUAGCUCUUUCCCUUCUGCCACAUGUAAGCUAAAAGCGCCCCAGUGAAAAAACUAGACAUAUCUACGAUACCUCUAAAAAACCAACACCCCUUUCACGACCCUCAGUGCUUAACAUUAUUAAUUCUAAGAAAUUAGGAAAUAGAAAGAGAAAAAAAAAGGUGGUAAAUAACGUGCCAGCAACCGCGGUUACACGUUAACCUUUAACUAAAGAAACCGGUACAAAAAAAGAAAGAAACAAAAACUCUUGUAAACCCAAAUAACAGCAGUAAUAAGCUUAACAACAAAAAAUACAAGAAAAUUUCCACCCAAAAAGAACAGAAAUAAACCGGGAUUAGAUACCCCGCUAUACAUUAACCAAAAACCCUAAAACCAGAGCAGUAAAGCCAAAACCUAAAACUUAAAGAACUUGGCGGUUUCCUAAACCUACUUAGAGGAGCUUGUUAUCCAAUCGAUACCCCACGAGAAACCUCACUUGUCUUAGAAUUCCAGCCUGUAUACCAUCGUCGCCAGCCUACCUUACAAGAAAGUAGACUACAAGAAAACAACUCCCAACGUCAGAUCAAGGUGCAGCCCAUAAACAAGGGAUCAAUGAGCUACCUUACUUAAAAACAGAGGACCUAACCCUUAAAAAAUUAAAAAAAUAGGAUUUAAUAGUACCCACUUAAAGAAAUAAGAAAGAGAAAAAAGCUCUAGGAAACGCACACAUCGCCCGUCACUCUCCUCCAAAGAAGAGAAAAGUCGUAACAAAGUAGGUGUACCGGAAGGUGCCACCUAGACAAG